GAAAUUGGGCUUAAGGUGAGGGGUGCUAUCUGUGAUUGAGGGACAUGGACAAUGGAACUGUCUCACACAGAAAUCGCACCCGUCACCUUGGCCUGCUUA
rnacentral:pre_miRNA from 13 species